GCUCAGCAUUUGGGGACGCUCUCAGCUCUCGGCGCACGGCCCAGCUUCCUUCAAAAUGUCUACUGUUCACGAAAUCCUGUGCAAGCUCAGCUUGGAGGGUGAUCACUCUACACCCCCAAGCGCAUAUGGGUCUGUCAAAGCCUAUACUAACUUUGAUGCUGAGCGGGAUGCUUUGAACAUUGAAACAGCCAUCAAGACCAAAGGUGUGGAUGAGGUCACCAUUGUCAACAUUUUGACCAACCGCAGCAAUGCGCAGAGACAGGAUAUUGCCUUCGCCUACCAGAGAAGGACCAAAAAGGGUCUUGCUCUGUCACCCAGGCUUGAUUGCAGUGGUGUGAUUCGGCUUACUGCAACUUCUGCCAUGUGGACUCAAAUGAUUCAUCUCAGCCUCCCAAACUGCUGGGAUUACAGUCAUAAGCCACCACACCCAAAACCUAGAUCUUGGUUUUAGAUUAGAUAUAUGGAGAACAAAGCUCCCACGUACCCUCUAGGAGGGAAGAUAUUACCAGAAUUAUGAUGAGGUCCCAAGAUCUCACAGGCUUUGCUGUGUGCUGGGGACAGCUCACCAUCCUACUAAUUCUUGACUCUCAGCCUUAGGCCAAGGAGAAUUAUGUAUCUUUUAUAAAAGAUAUGUAAACUACUUGAGAUAGUUUCAAGUGAAACAAUCGGCUGUUUGUGAAAUAAAGAAGAAAAU
rnacentral:sRNA from 1 species